rnacentral:tRNA from 1 species
ACCUUCGUGGCGUAGUGAUUAGCACGCUCGGCGCGUAUUCGAGAGGUCCGAGGUUCGAGUCCCGGCGAGGGCA